AGACGUAGGGGGCGAGCGUUGUCCGGAAUUACUGGGCGUAAAGGGCGUGUAGGCGGCCUAGCAAGUCAGUUGUGAAAUCCCAGGGCUUAACCCUGGGCUAGCAACUGAAACUGUUAAGCUUGAGUGCAUCAGAGGAGAGCGGAAUUCCUAGUGUAGCGGUGACAUGCGUAGAUAUUAGGAGGAACACCCGUGGCGAAGGCGGCUCUCUGGGGUGCAACUGACGCUGAGGCGCGAAAGCUGGGGGAGCGAACGGGAUUAGAUACCCCGGUAGUCCUGGCUGUAAACGAUGGGUACUAGGUGUUGGGGGUAUCGACCCCUCCAGUGCCGCAGUUAACGCAAUAAGUACCCCGCCUGGGGAGUACGGCCGCAAGGUUGAA
rnacentral:rRNA from 1 species